rnacentral:snRNA from 10 species
AAUCAAUGCCCUCAUUUUAACAGCAGACACCUGGUGAGGCUGUGCAUGCACCUUUUGUUGCAAGUCAGCCACUCUCAUGAUAAGAGCUUGUGUCUGUUUUUCCACAAUUUCAGCUCUUUCUCUAUAGGAGAUAAGACUGUCACUCAGGGAAAUCUUAGUAGAUUAGAUUAGAAGAUUUCAGGCUCUAUUUCUGCUUCUGAAGCAGGGAGUUAGAAUCACUGAGUUCAUAAUUUUCUUUCAUCACUUUGUCCAGUGAACUUAGGAGCAACCAACCAGCUUCAUUAUGGUCCUUGGUUCUCCGCAUAUUAUCAAAGGUAUUAUGUACAGAGUCACAAAACUCCUUGCUUCUCAUGAGUGGUGAAUCAAGAGUGUCAAAUGCAUUUAUUUUGCAUAACUCUCUCUAAACACUUCACACCAAGGACAAUCAGUGCUCUCCAUACUAUUAGAAGUAGAUUCCUUAGCAUUUUGGGGUCUAAUCAUAUUAAGCAGCCAACUCCAGAAAACUCAAAACAAAUGAAAGGACUUUAUCCUUAACAUUGUUUUCCUCUAGCACCACUCCUGGUACCAAAAUCUGUAUUAGUCAGGGUUCUCUAGAGAGACAGAACUAAUAAGAUAGAGGUAUAUAUAAAGGCAAGUUUAUUAAGGAGUAUUAACUCACAUAAUCACAAGGUCCCACAAUCAGAUGUCUGCAAGCUGAGGAGCAAAGAAACCUGUCCAAGUCCCAAAGCUGAAGAACUUGCAGUCUGAUGUACAAGGGCAGGAAGCAUCCAGCAUGGGAGAAAGAUGUAGGCUGGGAGGCUAAACCAGGCUCAUCUUUUCACAUACUUCACCCUGCUUUUUAUUCUGGCCAUACUGGCAGCUGAUUAGAUUGGGCCCACCCAGAUUAAAAGUGAGUCUGCCUUUCCCAGCCCACUGACUCAAAUGUUAAACUCCGUUGGCAAUGCCCUCACAGAUACACCCAGGAACAAUACUUUGUAUCCUCCAAUCCAAUCAAGUUAACACUUAGUGUUAACCAUCAUGUCCUCAGAGUAAUUAGAUAACCUUUUGCACCCAAAGUUCCACAAGUGGACAUAUAUGAAAACAGAAUUUAGAAAUCAAGUAAUUAAAAUAUGGUGAAUUAUAAAUAAAAUAGAAUGUUUCUUCAAUUACUAAAAGAUUAAAUUUAUGUAAUAUAAUAGAAAAUAUAACAAAAAGUCAAAAUACAAAAAAUAGGAAAACAAAAAAUUUUUAAAGGAGAGAUCAAGCCAAGUAUUCAACAGGUGUCUCAUAAUGUUUCCAAAAGAGAAGAAAUAAAAUAAAGAAAUUUGAAGAUCACUUCCUGGUCUUUUGGCUAAGAGCAACUGCAGUAUCUGUUCUUGUCAGUUUAAUAUGUGAUAUAUCCCUUAUCUGAGACAACAUAUUAAAUGGACUUUUGGAACUAGGAGAUGGACUAGAAAGUUGCCCCACUUGCUCCAUGCCUCCACACAUUGACUUGAUAUUGCAGUACUUCCAAAAAAAGAAAAGAAAAGAAAAGAAAGAUUGGGGAGAAAAGUACAGUGUAAAUAUUUCUAGAAAAUUCCUGAAAAUGAAGAUAAUUUUAUUUAUUGAUUUUGAUGGUAUGUUUGAUAUUCAGAUUGACUUGGGCACAGUCCAAACUAUUCAAUAAAACUCUAAUUUAGAUAUGCUAUGACAGUAUUUCAGAGAUGCAAGUAAAACCCCUAAUUGGUUGACAUUAAGUAAGAAAGAUUACAGUAUUUUUGGUUAUCUGGGUGGGCCUGAUUGAAUUAGCAAGAGAGAGAAGUAAUUCCUUCAGUAGAUGAGCUCAUCUUUCCUACGGAUUGUGAACUUAACUUAUCCAGGCCCUUGAAUCAUAGAAAUUUCUUUAUAUGUCUAUGUAAGCAUAUAAAUAUGCAUGUGCAUACACACGUAUCUCUUUCAUACAGGUUCUCUUUCCCUUCUUGAACCACAAGUGAUAUGCCAAUUGAAUGGGCUGAUUUAGAGACUUCAUUAACACAAUAAUGAAGUGAGCAUGCCAUUCAAAAAUUUCAGAAUACCUAAGGAAUUAAAGAAAAAUCAAAAAAAAAAAAAAAAAAGAAAAAAGAAAAGGUGAGGGAAAUACGUUACACAGAUACAAGUUCCCAGGACCCAAGUAGCAUUAAAACAUUCAACAAUGCUAAAAUAUAGUCUAUGAUGCCAAAGUGACUUUAAUUACCUGAAGUAAAAUAAUUUAUAAACAAAAACUGUAUAGUCCAUUUUAUGGGUUGAAGUGAAUCUUCCCCAAAAUGUGUAUGUUGAAGUCCUUAGUCCUAACUCCCAGUGCCUCAUGACAUAAUCUUUUUUGGAAAUAAGAUCAAUGUGCACAUAAUUAGCAUUGGAGAUCAGAAAACAAUACCCCAAAAAGAAGGCAUCAGCAACAGCCACAGAAGCAAUUCUUUUUCUGUAACCUUCCCUUGUCCUCCUGUCUCUCAUUUCCAUUCUACCCCAAGAGUAGCCACAGAAACUAGAAUCUCUCUCUCCAAGGUGGGUCAUAGAAACCACAACCUCUUUUCCCAAAAGCCAGUCAUAAAACCUGUAAGUAGUCUGUGUAAAAACUGGCCAUAAAGAAAUUAUCUGACCUACCUGGUUUGACUAUGAGAGAGGCCCUGCCCCAUACCCAGAAAAAAGAAAUGCAUGCUCAGACAGGUCAAGAAAAAUCUAGACAGACAGGUUUUACUGGGUUUCCCCACUAAAUUUAUUAAUCAAUUAACCUAUCUAUUAACAUUAGAUUAUAUCCUUUUUAUCUAAUCAUAUUUCUACAUGGCUGUCCAAACUUUGUUUAACACAGCAUAAAAAUGGACAAUUUCCUCUGCAUCUUCAGGUCUUUAUUUUUAAGGCUACUAUAUAUAUAAUGUUAUUUAAAUUUGUGUGUCUUUUCUCAUAUUAAUCAAUCUGCUUCACGUCAGUGUCUUUCAGUGAACCUCCAGGGACUCAAGAGUCUUGGCCACUAAAUUAGUUAGGUGAGAACAUAGUGAAAUAGGAUGGGCCUCUACUCCAAUAUCAUGCACUUAUGAAAAAGGGAGACUUGGACAUAGACACACAUACAGAGAGAACACCAUAAAGAUAUUAAGGCGGAGAGCUAAGAGAUGAUUCUAUAAGCCAAAAAAUACCAAAGAAGAUCAGCAUACCACUGGAAGCUAGGCGAGAGGCAUGAAGGAGUUUCUUCCUUACAGCCUCUAAGACACCUCAAGUGGAACCAGCCAGCCCCCCAGACACAAUGAUCUUGGACUUCUAGCUCCAAAACUGUGUGGCAAUCAAUUUCUGCUGUUCAAGCUAGUCAGUUUGUGACACUGUGUUAAGAAGUCCUGAUGAAUUCAUAGUCUAAUAAAUUAACAAACAGAAAUAAGAAAGAUUGCAAACACUCCCAGAGGUGCGAAAUAUUUAAUUUCCACGUGUCCUUUCCCAGAAAGCUAACGCAGAACACAUUUCACAUAAAAAAAGAAAUAAAUUAACAAAGCAAAAAAAGGACUAAAUACAAGAUAAAGGCUAAAUAAUUUUCCAGAAUGAUGUUAAAGGAAAGUGUGAGUGAGGAUGCCAGCUCUGCAGCUGGCAGUUUUCUAGCCGUAUGUAUAGGAGCCAAAGGACAGAGGACUCAUAGAGGAAUAGCCACGUGAUCAAAUAUGGAAUGAUAGAUUCCACGAUGCACUUAACACUGAGAAGAGAUUGAGAAUUCUGUUGAAAAUUUUAGGAAAAAAUGGG